GACAGAGGCCCCAAGCGUUAGGCGGAAUCACUGGGCUUAAAGCGUGUGUAGGCGGAAUGGUAAGUACCUUGUGAAAUCCCACGGCUCAACCGUGGAACUGCUUGGUAUACUGCUUUUCUUGAGCCACUUAGGGGCAACCGGAACAAACGGUGGAGCGGUGAAAUGCGUAGAUAUCGUUUGGAACGCCAAUGGUGAAAACAGGUUGCUGGGAGUGUGCUGACGCUGAGACACGAAAGCCAGGGGAGCAAACGGG
rnacentral:rRNA from 1 species